GAUGAACGCUGACAGAAUGCUUAACACAUGCAAGUCAACUUGAACUUCGGUUUGGGUGGCGGACGGGUGAGUAACGCGUAAAGAACUUGCCUCACAGCUAGGGACAACAUUUGGAAACGAAUGCUAAUACCUGAUAUUAUGAUUAUAUGGCAUCGUAUAAUUAUGAAAGCUAUAUGCGCUGUGAGAGAGCUUUGCGUCCCAUUAGCUAGUUGGAGAGGUAACAGCUCACCAAGGCGAUGAUGGGUAGCCGGCCUGAGAGGGUGAUCGGCCACAAGGGGACUGAGACACGGCCCUUACUCCUACGGGAGGAAGCAGUGGGGAAUAUUGGACAAUGGACCGAGAGUCUGAUCCAGCAAUUCUGUGUGCACGAUGAAGUUUUUCGGAAUGUAAAGUGCUUUCAGUUGGGAAGAAAAAAAUGACGGUACCAACAGAAGAAGUGACGGCUAAAUACGUG
rnacentral:rRNA from 1 species